AACGCACAUUGCGCCCUCUGGUAUUCCGGGGGGCACGCCCGUCCGAGCGUCAUCUCUACCAUCCAGCCCGGCUGGGUCUUGGGCGGCGGGCGACCCCUCAGGUCGCCCGCGCCCCAAAUUGCUCGGCCGCCCGGCCGUGUCGGGGCGUCAGGACGGAACCACCGUUCGCCCACGACACGCCGCCGCGGUGGCCGCCGUCAAGGGAGCAUAAUCACAAGGUGGACCUCGGAUCGGGCGGGGAUACCCGCUGAACUUAA
rnacentral:misc_RNA from 1 species